UACGGGGGGGGGCAAGCGUUGUUCGGAAUUACUGGGCGUAAAGGGCGCGUAGGCGGCCUACUAAGUCGGACGUGAAAUCCCUCGGCUCAACCGAGGAACUGCGUCCGAUACUGGCAGGCUGGAAUCCGGGAGAGGGAUGUGGAAUUCCAGGUGUAGCGGUGAAAUGCGCAGAUAUCAGGAGGAACACCAAUUGCGAAGGCAGCUCGCUGGGACGUUACUGACGCUGGAGACGCGAAAGCGUGGGGAGCAAACAGG
rnacentral:rRNA from 1 species